GCCUACGGCCAUACCACCCUGAAUGCGCUCGAUCUCACCUGAUCUCAGAAGUAAAGCAGGGUCAGGCCUGUAGUAGUUAGAUGGGAGAAAGUUGCCCUAGGUA
rnacentral:rRNA from 1 species